AUUGAACGCUGGCGGCAGGCCUAACACAUGCAAGUCGAACGAGUGGCGGACGGGUGAGUAAUGUCUGGGAAACUGCCCGAUGGAGGGGGAUAACUACUGGAAACGGUAGCUAAUACCGCAUACCAUCGGAUGUGCCCAGAUGGGAUGAGCUUGUAGGUGGGGUAACGGCUCACCUAGGCGACGAGCCCUCGCUGGUCUGAGAGGAUGAGCAGCGACACUGGAACGGAGAAACGGUCCAGACUCGUCCGGGAGGCAGCAUUGGGGAAUAUUGCACAAUGGGCGCAAGCCUGAGGCAGCCAUGCCGCGUGUAUGAAGAAGGCCGUCGUGUUGUAAAGUACUUUCAGCGGGGAGGCGUUACCCGCAGAAGAAGCACCGGCUAACUCCGUGCCAGCAGCCGCGGUAAUUC
rnacentral:rRNA from 1 species